rnacentral:rRNA from 1 species
UACGUAGGGUGCGAGCGUUAAUCGGAAUUACUGGGCGUAAAGCGUGCGCAGGCGGUUUUGUAAGCCAGAUGUGAAAUCCCCGGGCUUAACCUGGGAAUGGCAUUUGGGACUGCAAGGCUGGAGUUUGGCAGAGGAGACCGGAAUUCCUGGUGUAGCAGUGAAAUGCGUAGAUAUCAGGAGGAAUACCGAUGGCGAAGGCAGGUCUCUGGGCUGAAACUGACGCUCAUGCACGAAAGCGUGGGGAGCAAACAGG